ensembl:lncRNA
CAGUUGAAAGUCAGCCCUGGUUUCUCAUUAAAUGAGAGUCUCCAGAGUUAGAAAGGGUUUUGAAUAAUAACGCUGAAAGUUAUCAAUAGCUUUUUGAAAGUGGAAUUGUAUUAUUAAAAUGCAGUUCAGAUUACAUUACCUCCAUGAAGGCAAAAUCCCUAGUUAUAUGUGUACCAAUGCAUGCCAGCAGGUAAAGCAUGUGGUUGUCACAAACACACAUCAUCUGCUUCGUGCAGACUCUGUUUAUGAAUGUCUGUGAUUGACAGCGUGCAUUUGUUUAGUUAAUGUCCAACCCCUUCCUUCUUCCUCCCUGGGCAGCCUCCAUAAAUCUCAGUUUUGCUCUUUGGAUGUUGUUGGCAGCAGUAAGUUAUAGGGGAAAAAGCACUCCUUUUUUUGUCUGGUCUUUGUUGUUGUCAUUCACAACAAUGUUGCUCUUUUCCUUAAGGCCUUUUCCUGCCAUUUGCAAGUUCUUCAUCUUGGCUAGGGGCCCCUUUGGUUGACUACAAGGGCAUACGGAUGUAGCUGUUGAGAUGUUUGGGCAAAAUCUUCAGAGGGAAAAAGGCAUAAAAGGGGAAAGGAAGCUUAACAAACUGGGAAAAAGUGCAUGUAGAAAUAGAAAAAAAGGACAGAUGUUUUGGGGAGCAGAUAAAGUUGAGAGCAGUUUUGGCUUGUGCUGCUUCCCUUCCUCCCGCCUUUAGAUCUUAGAAGCUGUUCUGUUACAUUUCUCCAUCCCUUCCCCUGGUCUGGUAUGCAGUGUCUGAAGGAGCAGAUUCUGUCUGUGGAAAUACAGUCAUCAGAAGGAGAGGUGUGGACAAAAUUGCAUUGAGGAAGUAUAUAACACUUAAUUGCCAUGGUACGGUGUGAUGGAGAGACAUGUCACAAAGUUUGCUGUUUGCUCAACUUCAUGGGGGGAAUCUGAGCUUCCCUUCAGCUAGGCACCUCCAGAGUCGUGAAGGCAUAUGGGAUCUCUCAUCUGAACGUGAAGGGAACAGAGGUUAGAAGCUAACACCCAGCAAAUGCUCAUGUUUUUGUAAAAGAACUGGAGAAGGAUGAUCAAAAAGGUGAGAGGAGCUGGUAUUCUAAUGGAGACUGCUAAAAAGGAGUUGUUAAUCAGAGUUCAUCUCUUCUAGAAGGCAAAAUGAUGAAAAGACUCUUGGCUUGUGGAUGGAAAAUGGUAACAUAGGUGUAAUUCUUAUUUAUUUUUUUAAUUUAACAAUUCACAG